rnacentral:rRNA from 1 species
UAGUCCACGCAGUAAACGAUGAAUGCUGGUUGUCCUUUGGGCUGUCCCCUGGGCGGCGAAGCGAAAGCGAUAAGCAUUCCACCUGGGGAGUACGCCGGCAACGGUGAAACUCAAAGGAAUUGACGGGGGCCCGCACAAGCGGAGGAACAUGUGGUUUAAUUCGAUGAUACGCGAGGAACCUUACCCGGGCUCAAACGGGAGCGGGACCGGCCGGAGACGGCCGGGUCUACGGACUGCUUCCGAGGUGCUGCAUGGUUGUCGUCAGCUCGUGUCGUGAGAUGUUGGGUUAAGUCCCGCAACGAGCGCAGCCCUUAUUGUUAGUUGCUACGCAAGAGCACUCUAGCGAGACUGCCGUUGACAAAACGGAGGAAGGUGGGGACGACGUCAAAUCAUCAUGCCCCUUAUGUCCUGGGCCACACACGUACUACAAUGGUGGUCAACAGAGGGAAGCAAUACCGCGAGGUGGAGCAAAUCCCUAAAAGCCAUCCCAGUUCGGAUCGCAGGCUGCAACCCGCCUGCGUGAAGUUGGAAUCGCUAGUAAUCGCGGAUCAGCAUGCCGCGGUGAAUACGUUCCCGGGCCUUGUACACACCGCCCGUCACACCAUGAGAGUCGGGAACACCCGAAGUCCGUAGCCUAACUGCAAAGGGGGCGCGGCCGAAGGUGGGUUCGAUAAUUGGGGUGAAGUCGUAACAAGGUAAC